ACAAGCUAAUUAAAAAAAAAUAGCAGACUGUCAAUUAAAGUAGAGCACACACCUUCUUAAGAGGAGCUGAAAAAAUGAAAAGAAACCCAAGGCUAGAGAAAAUGAGAGGUUCGAUGGGCAGUUUAUAUUCGCAAGAUUCGCAAUAGAUCAGCAGUCCACGCAAACCAAGUCGAUUGAACACCAAAAUCUAGAGAAAAAGCAAGACAAAAC